rnacentral:rRNA from 1 species
GACGAACGCUGGCGGCGUGCUUAACACAUGCAAGUCGAACGGAAAGGCCCUGCUUUUGUGGGGUGCUCGAGUGGCGAACGGGUGAGUAACACGUGAGUAACCUGCCCUUGACUUUGGGAUAACUUCAGGAAACUGGGGCUAAUACCGGAUAGGAGCUCCUGCUGCAUGGUGGGGGUUGGAAAGUUUCGGCGGUUGGGGAUGGACUGGCGGCUUAUCGGCUUGUUGGUGGGGUAGUGGCUUACCAAGGCUUUGACGGCUAGCCGGCCUGGGAGGGGGACCGGCCACAAUGGGACUGAGGGACGGCCCAGAAUCCAACGGGAGGCAACAGGGGGGAAUAUUACGGAAUGGGCGGGAGCCAGAGACGACGACCCCGGGUGCGGGAUAACGGCCUUCGGGUUGAAAACCGCUUUCGCCGGUGACGAAGCGUGAGUGACGGUAAUGGGUAAAGAAGCACCGGCUAACUACGUG